rnacentral:rRNA from 1 species
GACGAACGCUGGCGGCGUGCUUAACACAUGCAAGUCGAACGGAAAGGCCCCUUUGGGGGUCCUCGAGUGGCGCACGGGUGAGUAACACGUGAGUAACCUGCCCUUGACUUCGGGAUAACUUCAGGAAACUGGGGCUAAUACCGGAUAGGAAUCCUUGCUGCAUGGUGGGGGUUGGAAAGCUUCGGCGGUUUUGGAUGGACUCGCGGCUUAUCAGCUUGUUGGUGGGGUAGUGGCUUACCAAGGCUUUGACGGGUAGCCGGCCUGAGAGGGCGACCGGCCACAUUGGGACUGAGAUACGGCCCAGACUCCUACGGGAGGCAGCAGUGGGGAAGAUUGCACAAUGGGCGGAAGCCUGAUGCAGCAACGCCGCGUGCGGGAUGACGGCCUUCGGGUUGUAAACCGCUUUCAGCAGGGGCGAAGCUUGUGGUGACGGUACCUGCAGAAGAAGCACCGGCUAACUACGUG